rnacentral:rRNA from 1 species
CAGCCGCCACGGUAAUACAGAGGGUGCAAACGUUGUUCGGAAUUACUGGGCGUAAAGCGAGUGUAGGCGGUUCGGUAAGUCGGAUGUGAAAGCUCCGGGCUCAACCCGGGAAGUGCACUCGAUACUACCAAGCUAGAGUACUGGAGAGGUUGGUGGAAUUCUCGGUGUAGAGGUGAAAUUCGUAGAUAUCGAGAGGAACACCGGUGGCGAAGGCGGCCAACUGGACAGAUACUGACGCUGAGACUCGAAAGCGUGGGGAGCAAACAGGAUUAGAUACCCGUGUAGUCCCUGUCUCUUAUAC